GUGAGGUAGCCCUGCCCCCGGUCGUCACUUCAGACAGACAGCAGAUAUUAUGAUAACUGCUGUAGAAAAUGCAGCCGCCAUAUCCUUUGGUCGCGCGCUGCCUGGUGAUCAUUAAUUGCAAUCUGCAGCGUUGAAGGGGGACAAAGGGGCAGCUGCAGAACCAUUUGGCUGUGCCCAAGGCGGGCCAGCUCAACAUGUUGGGAGGCUGAGACCAGCUUGGGCUCCUGUCUGGGGCCCGGGCCCCUGCACUCGGCUGCGUUGCGUGAGGCGGCGGCCUCUGCCAAGCUGCCAGGGAGGGCCCGCGUACCACGGGAGGGAUGGGGGAAGGAAGAGAUAAAGAGAGAAGUGUCUCGUGGACUCGGAGCGUCCCGAUGUUUGACUGUUCUGUCUCGUUUUCAAACCAGCCCGUCUCUCUGAUCUGACAUCUGCAGGUUUGGCUGAGAAAGCAUUCUUCAUAACUUUGGCGCAACUUCCAAAAUCAGCCCAAGACAGAUGUUUCCAUUUUAGUGAAAGUUUAUUUGUAUAUCAUGUGGGACAAAAAUUCACACAGCGAGGAUGGCUGUUUCUAUAAUGGACCCAAGAAUACCAUUUUUUUUGGCAUAAAAAACAAAUUGGUUGGUUAAUUGUGUAGUAAAGUUCUGCCAUAAAGACCUCAACAAAGA